rnacentral:rRNA from 1 species
UACGUAGGGCGCAAGCGUUGUCCGGAAUUAUUGGGCGUAAAGAGCUCGUAGGUCGGUCUGUCGCGUCUGCUGUGAAAACUCGGGGCUUAACCCCGGGCCUGCAGUGGGUACGGGCAGACUAGAGUGCGGUAGGGGAGACUGGAAUUCCUGGUGUAGCGGUGAAAUGCGCAGAUAUCAGGAGGAACACCGGUGGCGAAGGCGGGUCUCUGGGCCGUAACUGACGCUGAGGAGCGAAAAGCGUGGGGGAGCGAAACAGG